UUGGAGGGCAAGUCUGGUGCCAGCAGCCGCGGUAAUUCCAGCUCCAAUAGCGUAUAUUAAAGUUGUUGCAGUUAAAAAGCUCGUAGUUGAAUUUCGGGGUUAGUAGGUUGGUCAUGCCUCUGGUAUGUACUGGUCUCACUGAUUCCUCCUUCCUGAUGAAUCUUAAUGCCAUUAAUUUGGUGUUUUGGGGAAUUUGGACUGUUACUUUGAAAAAAUUAGAGUGUUUAAAGCAAGCUAACGCUUGAAUACAUUAGCAUGGAAUAAUGAAAUAGGACGUUCGAUCCUAUUUUGUUGGUUUCUAGGAUUGACGUAAUGAUUAAUAGGGAUAGUUGGGGGCAUUAGUAUUCAAUUGUCAGAGGUGAAAUUCUUGGAUUUAUUGAAGACUAACUUCUGCGAAAGCAUUUGCCAAGGAUGUUUUCAUUAAUCAAGAACGAAAGUUAGGGGAUCGAAGACGAUCAGAUACCGUCGUAGUCUUAACCAUAAACUAUGCCGACUAGGGAUCGGACGAUGUUAAUUUUUUAAUGACUCGUUCGGCGCCUUACGGGAAAC
rnacentral:rRNA from 1 species